AGAAUGUAGCAAAAUGCGAUACUUGGUGUGAAUUGCAGAAUCCCGUGAACCAUCGAGUCUUUGAACACAAUUUGCACCUGAAGCCAUUAGGUCGACGGCAUGUCUGCCUGGGCGUCA
rnacentral:rRNA from 2 species